GACGUAGGGGGCCAGCGUUGCUCGGAAUUACUGGGCGUAAAGCGUGCGCAGGCGGUUUUGUAAGACAGAGGGGAAAUCCCCGGGCUCAACCUGGGAACUGCCUUUGUGACUGCAAGGCUUGAGUGCGGCAGAGGGGGAUGGAAUUCCGCGUGUAGCAGUGAAAUGCGUAGAUAUGCGGAGGAACACCGAUGGCGAAGGCAAUCCCCUGGGCCUGCACUGACGCUCAUGCACGAAAGCGUGGGGAGCAAACAGG
rnacentral:rRNA from 1 species